GAUGAACGCUAGCGGCAGGCCUAACACAUGCAAGUCGAGGGGUAACUAGAGUGAUAGCAAUAUUACUUUGGCUAGACCGGCGCACGGGUGCGUAACACGUAUGCAACCUACCUUAUACUGGGGAAUAACUUCGAGAAAUCGGCGCUAAUACCCCAUAACAUUGCGAAGAGGCAUCUCUUUGCAAUUAAAGCUCCGGCGGUAUAAGAUGGGCAUGCGUCCAAUUAGCUAGUUGGUGAGGUAACGGCUCACCAAGGCUACGAUUGGUAGGGGUUCGGAGAGGAUGAUCCCCCACACUGGUACUGAGACACGGACCAGACUCCUACGGGAGGCAGCAGUGAGGAAUAUUGCGCAAUGGACGAAAGUCUGACGCAGCCAUGCCGCGUGCAGGAUGACGGCCCUAUGGGUUGUAAACUGCUUUUGUACGGGAAUAAACCCUUCUACGUGUAGGAGGCUGAAGGUACCGUAAGAAUAAGCACCGGCUAACUCCGUGCCAGCCGCCGCAGUAAUAC
rnacentral:rRNA from 1 species